rnacentral:rRNA from 1 species
CAAGUUGAGAGUUUGAUCCUGGCUCAGAACUAACAUUGGCGGCAGGCCUAACACAUGCAAGUCGAGCGAGGCUUCGAGCCGAGCGGCGAACGGGUGCGUACAACUUGGGAAUCUACCUUGAAGUGGGGGAUAACAACUGGAAACAGUUGCUAAUACCGCAUACUCCAUAUUGGGAAAGCGUUGCAGCGCUUCAAGAUGAGCCCAAGCCUGAUUAGCUAGUUGGUGGGGUAAAAGCCUACCAAGGCUACGAUCAGUAGCUGGUCUCAGAGGAUGAUCAGCCACACUGGAACUGAGACACGGUCCAGACUCCUACGGGAGGCAGCAGUGGGGAAUCUUGCACAAUGGGGGCAACCCUGAUGCAGCCAUGCCGCGUGCGCGAUGACGGUCUUCGGAUUGUAAAGCGCUUUAGAUGGGGACGACGAUGACGGUACCCAUAGAAUAAGUCACGGCUAACUUCGUGCCAGCAGCCGCGGUAAUACGAAGGUGGCGAAUGUUGUUCGGAUUUACUGGGCGUAAAGCGUCCGCAGGUGGUUUGUUAAGUCAGGUGUGAAAGCCCCGCGCUCAACGUGGGAAUUGCACUUGAAACUGGCUGACUAGAAGGCGAGAGAGGUAGGCGGAAUUACCGGUGUAGAAGUGAAAUUCGUAGAUAUCGGUAGGAACACCCAUGGCGAAGGCAGCUUACUGGCUCGCUCUUGACACUCAUGGACGAAAGCGUGGGGAGCAAACAGGAUUAGAUACCCUGGUAGUCCACGCCCUAAACGAUGCAUGCUCGCUGUCAGGCUCGCUACAGAGCUUGGUGGCCCAGCUAACGCGGUAAGCAUGCCGCCUGGGGAGUACGGCCGCAAGGUUAAAACUCAAAGGAAUUGACGGGGACCCGCACAAGUGGUGGAGCAUGUCGUUUAAUUCGAUGCUACGCGCAGAACCUUACCUAGGCUUGACAUACCGGUCGUACCCUCCGUAACGGGAGGGGUCAUUUAGUUGGACCGUGUACAGGUGUUGCAUGGCUGUCGUCAGCUCGUGUCGUGAGAUGUUGGGUUAAGUCCCGCAACGAGCGCAACCCUCGCCUUUAAUUGCCAGCAUUCAGUUGGGCACUUUAGAGGAACCGCCGAGGAUAACUCGGAGGAAGGUGGGGAUGACGUCAAGUCCUCAUGGCCCUUACGCCUAGGGCUACAGACGUGCUACAAUGCCGACCACAACGGGAUGCCAAAGCGCAAGCUGGAGCAAAUCCUAAAAAGUCGGCUCAGUUCGGAUUGUCGUCUGCAACUCGACGGCAUGAAGCUGGAAUCACUAGUAAUCGCGGAUCAGCAUUGCCGCGGUGAAUACAGUUCCCGGGUCUUGUACACACCGCCUGUCAAGCCAUGGAAAUUGGGGACACCUUAAGCCGGUGCGCUAACCCGCAAGGGAGGCAGCCGUCCACGGUGCAACCAGUAACUGGGGCUAAGUCAUAACAAGGUAGGCGUUCGGGAACGAGCGCCUGGAUCACCUCCUUUCUAAGG